AAAGAAGUUACCAGCAAGAAGCCUAUACCACCUUUUGCAAACUAGACGGAGCUUGCUAAGUUCAACACGAGGAACACGAACUAGACAAGCAAUUGCAAGAUCAUCAGGUAGGCUAGGCAGAAGAGGUGGCUGCACUCUUGACCUCUCCCUUCGAGAGUUUUUACUUUUGUGUGCAUGAGAACUGAUGUCUGACUGGAUACAAA
rnacentral:misc_RNA from 1 species